UUUUUUUUCAGAUAAAUGCUGAGUUUAAGAGAAUUACGACCAUACCGCUUCAUUCAAAGUUCUUCUCUCAACUGGAUCUCCACUGUGACAACCUGAGGAAGCUCUUCAAAAGAAGAGGAGGACAGCUCGGACAAAAGCUUAGACAAAUUGUUGCACAAAUGGAUGAUUGUGAAGAUGUUGAUGUUGCACGGGAGUGUGUCAUUAAGGGAGUCUGCAUAUAUAUGGAAGAAGAUCCAGCCAAGCUCAUCCAUAAAUAUGUGGGUGUGGAUGAAGCUAAUAUUGAAGAGGGUAUUGGAGCCACCACCAUCGGUGUUUUUCAUCUUAAAGACUGUUCUUCAGCAGAUGAAGACAUCGGGGUCGUUCUUGAAGGCAUCAGAGUGUUGUCCUAUUUGGAUAGUGUGCCAACAGCUGUUGCAAUGCUUUUUGGACUGAUAUAUGCAAUGAACCUCGCCUACCCUGCUGACCUCCGCUACACUUUCAAGGUAUUACAGAAAAUAGUAAUGGAACUGGAUGGAGGUAAACUGUCAAACAAGGCAUUGUCCCUUAAAAACCACCUCUAUGAGUGAAUAGAGAUUUUCUCAUGUUUAAUUUGGUAAUGUUCUCAUGUUCAGUUUUUGUAUUUCUUGUUGUAUUCUUUAUUGGAGGACACAAAUGUAUUUUUUUAAUGAGGAACGUUCACCUGAAAGACUGGGCUUCAGCAGCUUUUACGUUCCAGUAUGUAGUGCUACUUAUAACACUACUGCUACUUAGUGUUACAAAUAUGUUAAAGAAAUUUGCUAUAAAAGUUACAUUACACUGAUUUAUUGUCAUGCAAAUUACAUGUUCAGAAUUGUUUUAGAAAUUUUACAUACUUUUCUAAAUCAUUUUGUCUUUCAUAUUAAUAUCUUAAAGAUAAACUUCUAAGCUGUAGUGUUUCCCUUGUAAAAAAAUGUUCGUUUUUACACAUUUGUUUAGACUAUCACUAUGGUAUUACAUAGUAAUCAGUAAGACAUGUGACAGAUAAUUGGUGUAAAAAGUUUAGCUUUGUCUCAUAUUGACAUAACAUACUGAUAGUUUUAACAAAUAUGUUAAAAAAGUCUGUAAAGCUAUGUACUGCAGCAUUAAUUAAUGUCAUUUGAAUACAUGUUCAAAAACAGUUUGUAGAAAUUUGACAUACUUUUCAUAAUCUUGUACAUCUUUUAUAGAAAUAUGUCUCAGGUUUUCCUUCAUGUUCAUAAAAAUUGUAUUUACUAAAUUUAAAAAAAAUGUAUGUCUCUUCAAU